rnacentral:rRNA from 1 species
UGCGUAGGCGGAUAUAUAAGUCAGUGGUGAAAUCCUGCGGCUCAACCGUAGAACUGCCAUUGAUACUGAUAUUCUUGAAUGUAGUUGAGGUAGGCGGAAUGUGUAAUGUAGCGGUGAAAUGCUUAGAUAUUACACAGAACACCGAUUGCGAAGGCAGCUUACUAAACUAUUAUUGACGCUGAUGCACGAAAGCGUGGGGAGCGAACAGGAUUAGAUACCCUGGUAGUCC